rfam:Ovis aries breed Texel chromosome 17, whole genome shotgun sequence.
UCCCUGGUGGCUCAGAGGUUAAAGCGUCUGCUUCUAAUACAGGAGACCUAGGUUCAAUCCCUGGGUUGGGAA